AUUGAACGCUGGCGGCAGGCCUAACACAUGCAAGUCGAGCGGAUGAAGGGAGCUUGCUCCUGGAUUCAGCGGCGGACGGGUGAGUAAUGCCUAGGAAUCUGCCUGGUAGUGGGGGAUAACGUCCGGAAACGGGCGCUAAUACCGCAUACGUCCUGAGGUAGAAAGUGGGGGAUCUUCGGACCUCACGCUAUCAGAUGAGCCUAGGUCGCAUUAGCUAGUUGGUUGGGUAAAGGCCUACCAAGGCGACGAUCCGUAACUGGUCUGAGAGGAUGAUCAGUCACACUGGAACUGAGACACGGUCCAGACUCCUACGGGAGGCAGCAGUGGGGAAUAUUGGGCAAUGGGCGAAAGCCUGAUCCAGCCAUGCCGCGUGUGUGAAGAAGGUCUUCGGAUUGUAAAGCACUUUAAGUUGGGAGGAAGGGAAGUAAGUUAAUACCUUGCUGUUUUGACGUUACCAACAGAAUAAGCACCGGCUAACUUCGUG
rnacentral:rRNA from 1 species